rnacentral:lncRNA from 1 species
UUAAGUCGAUUGAUGCAAGGUGUUCAUACUUUUUGCACAAAGUUACUUGCAAAGAUAGCACAAGUCGGAUGAACAUAUGUGUGUGAUUGUAAUGAUCUUUUCCAUUCUAGUUGCUUAAUUUUUAGCAUGAUUUGUCUACAACACAAGUAAAGUUGCUGCAAAUCUGCAACCUGGAAUCAGUGUUUUUCUUGGAGAUUGUACUGGCUUUUGCCAUCAGGAUUUUUUUGGCAUUCUAGUUGCUUCACUUUUUAGCCACAAGUAGUUUAUUUCCUUAUGCUACAUUAUAUUUCAAUAUAAAUAUAAUGUAGUUUUUUACUGUUUUUAGUAAGUGUUUAUUAGAAAUAGUUUAUUUAGUAAGUGUUUAAUAGAAAUAGUUUAAUCGGUGAGGGAGUGUCCACCAUAUAUGAGCGAAGAAGAAUGCUGACUGUUGUCGUGGGGGUCGCUUCUCCUCCUUCUCCUUGUGCUAGAUAUUUGUUAUGCACUAGGGGAAGUAGGAGUAGAGACCAUCAUCGACGGUCGAAAAAUCGGUGAGGGAGUAUCGACCAUAUAUGAGAGAAGAAGAAUGCCGACUGUUGUCGUGGGG